GGCUGGGAUUUGGGGUUCAGGCUGGGAUUUGGGGUUCAGGCUGGGAUUUGGGGUUCAGGCUGGGAUCCCGGCACUCCUGGCAGGAUUUCCCCUGGCCUUGGAUUCACCUCCCAGAACUUCUGCUGCUCGUUUCUCUGAUCAUAAAGUAUAAUUUAGUGCUUUAAUCUGAGUCAGGUUGGGAUGUAAAUAUAAAUUAUGUACCAUAAAUACAGGAUUUAUUCAUUAUAUUUAUUUAUUAGCUUUAUUUUAUGUAUUUAUCAUUUGUAAUAAAUAAAUAAAUUGCAAUUCUGUGAGGACAGGAGGUUUUCAGUGGGAGCUGAACUUCUCCCUGCCCGAAUUUUCACCUGGGCUUGCAUUCACAUCACAGAACUUAUUUCGCUGAUUUCUCUAAUCAUAAAAUACAUCUUAUCACCUUAAUUUCUGGUCAGAAUGUGAUGUAAGUAUAAAUUCUAUACUAUAAAUAUAGAUAGAUAGAUUUAUUUAUUUAUAAUAAGUAAAUAAAUUAUGAAUUUUUUCAAUGGGAGCUGAACUUCUCCCUGCCAGGAUUUUCACCUGGGCUUGCAUUCACAUCACAGAAGUUUGGUUUUGUUUUUUUUUUUUGCUGCUUUCUCUAAUCAUAAACUAUAUUUUAGCACGUUAAUCUUUGUCAAUAUGGGAUGUAAACACAAAUUCUCUACCACAUAAAAAAUAUAUUGCAAUAAGUGCUUCUAUAAAAUAGAAAAGGGGCAGCAAUUCUUCUAAUGUAACAAUCCAAUUCUUAACUCAUACAGUGGAAAAACAUCUCAGAGGUGCAAAUCCUGUAUUUAAAUAUCAUAAAAACAGAAUGCAAAAAGACAAUUUCUCAUGAUCCUGCAAGCUUUUAAUUAAUCUUGAUGAUUUAUUGCCAUAUGGCUGCUUAAAAAACAAAAA